rnacentral:rRNA from 1 species
GUUUGAUCCUGGCUCAGAUUGAACGCUGGCGGCAUGCUUUACACAUGCAAGUCGAACGGCAGCGCGGGGCAACCUGGCGGCGAGUGGCGAACGGGUGAGUAAUAUAUCGGAACGUACCCAAGAGUGGGGGAUAACGUAGCGAAAGUUACGCUAAUACCGCAUACGAUCUAAGGAUGAAAGUGGGGGAUCGCAAGACCUCAUGCUCCUGGAGCGGCCGAUAUCUGAUUAGCUAGUUGGUGAGGUAAAGGCUCACCAAGGCGACGAUCAGUAGCUGGUCUGAGAGGACGACCAGCCACACUGGAACUGAGACACGGUCCAGACUCCUACGGGAGGCAGCAGUGGGGAAUUUUGGACAAUGGGCGCAAGCCUGAUCCAGCAAUGCCGCGUGAGUGAAGAAGGCCUUCGGGUUGUAAAGCUCUUUUGUCAGGGAAGAAACGGUAGAGGCUAAUAUCCUUUGCUAAUGACGGUACCUGAAGAAUAAGCACCGGCUAACUACGUGCCAGCAGCCGCGGUAAUACGUAGGGUGCAAGCGUUAAUCGGAAUUACUGGGCGUAAAGCGUGCGCAGGCGGUUUUGUAAGUCUGUCGUGAAAGCCCCGGGCUCAACCUGGGAAUUGCGAUGGAGACUGCAAGGCUUGAAUCUGGCAGAGGGGGGUAGAAUUCCACGUGUAGCAGUGAAAUGCGUAGAGAUGUGGAGGAACACCGAUGGCGAAGGCAGCCCCCUGGGUCAAGAUUGACGCUCAUGCACGAAAGCGUGGGGAGCAAACAGGAUUAGAUACCCUGGUAGUCCACGCCCUAAACGAUG